rnacentral:piRNA from 1 species
UCUCAACUGGAAACAGAGAAAAGGGAC